GUCCAGGGUAGCCUAGUGGUCAUGGCAUCUGCCCGGUAAGCGGAAGGUCGUGGGUUCGAUUCCCCCCCAUCCCUUGACA